rfam:Lepisosteus oculatus linkage group LG15, whole genome shotgun sequence.
GCUAGCAGCUCUAUCACCCUUCAACUCCCAGCUGGCAGCCCACAGAAGCUCAGCAGGUGUGAGCCUGGCCAGUACCUGGAUGGGAGACCUCCUGUGAAAGCUAAGGUUGCUGCUGGAA